rnacentral:rRNA from 1 species
UACGUAGGGGGCAAGCGUUGUCCGGAUUUAUUGGGCGUAAAGGGCGCGUAGGCGGCCUGGCAAGUGGAAGGUGAAAUCCCUCGGCUUAACCGAGGAACUGCCUCCCAAACUGCUUGACUUGAGACCAGGAGAGGUGAGUGGAAUUCCCAGUGUAGCGGUGAAAUGCGUAGAUAUUGGGAGGAACACCAGUGGCGAAGGCGGCUCACUGGACUGGUACUGACGCUGAGGCGCGAAAGCGUGGGGAGCAAACGGG